rnacentral:lncRNA from 1 species
CACCACACUCCAGUACCAUCUGCAAGAACAACAAUGUCAGAAUAAUCAGCACCCAUCCUCAUGCACGCACUUCUUCUCUCCCUCCAUGAUCUCAUCGGUGGUCUUCCUGAUGAGCUCCCACGCGCUUCGCACGUGCCUCUCCUCCUGCAGCGACGACCCCACCGCGAACCUCAGCACGAACUUACCGCCGACCACCGUGUGAGCCAGGUACGCCUUCCCGGUCCUGUUCAGCCGCUCCAUGAGCUCAUGGUUGGCCCCGUCGGCGUCCUCCUCCGUCGUCAUGCCGCCGCCGUGGGGCUUGAUCCUGAAGCACACCAGCGCGAAGUUCCUCGGCACGACGACCUCGAACCGGUCGUCGCUGCGCACGGAUUCCUCGAACAUCUUGGCCAUGGCGACGUCGCUGCGGAUGUGCUCCUGGAGCCUGGCGGCGCCGUAGGUGCGCAUGACCAUCCAGAGCUUGAGCCCGCGGAAGCGGCGGCCGACGCCGACCUGCAUGUCCUUGAGGUCGGUGACGGCCCCCGAGUCGCUCGCGCCGUUCUUGAGGUACUCCGGGUUGGUCUCCAGGGAGUCGGUGAGACGGUGCGCGUCGCGGACCCAGAGGCAGGUGCAGUCGAGGCACGUCAUCAGCCACUUGUGCGGGCUCAUGCUGAUGGAGUCCACGCGCUCCACGCCGUCGAGGUGGUGCCGGAACUCCGGGCAGAUGCAGGCGCUCCCGGCGUAGGCGGCGUCGACGUGGACCCACGCGUUGAACCGGGCGGCGACGUCAGCGAUGGCGCCCACCGGGUCGACGGCGUUCGUCGACGUGGUGCCGACCGUGGCGCAGACGUAGGUCGGCACGAGGCCGGUGUCGACGUCGGCCUGCAUGGCCUCAAGCAGCUUCGUCGGGUCGAGGCCGUAGUCCGUGUCGGCGCCGGUGGGGAUGGACCUGAUGUUGGCCGGGUCGAAGCCGGUGAGGCGGCACGCCUUGAAGAAGGUGGAGUGGGUCUGGUCGGCGGCGUAGACGACCAGCCGCGUGAUCCCGGCGACGCCGCUGGAGCCCAUGCGUCGCAGCGCGGCGUCGCGGGCGGCGACGAGCGUGACCAGCAUUGCCUCGCUGGUGGUGCCGAGGAUGACGCCGCCGCCGGUGCCGCGGCCCUCGCCGGCGUCGGUGCGGUGCAUGAGGAAGCUCGCCGGCAGGCGCAGGAGCUGCGCGAGCCAGUCGAGCGCGAGCACCUCCAUCUCCGUGGCGGCCGGGUUGGCCUGCCACGUGAACCCGACGGUGUUCAUCGCGGAGGCGAUGAGCUCCCCGGCGAUGGCCGCGGCGCUGUUGGUCGCCGGGAAGAAGGCGAAGAAGUUGGGGCUGGCCCAGUGGGUCAUCCCCGGCACCACGGCCUCCCGGAGCUCCUUCAUAGCGAUGUCGAACGGCGCGGCAGCGCUGGGUGGCGCGCACUGCAGCAGGCGGCGCAGGUACCCCGGCUCGACGCCGGGGAGCACGGGCAGGGACUCGACGGACUUGUAGUAGUCGUAGAUGAAGUCGACGGACUUGUGCAGGUAGGAGCGGACGUCGUCGGCGUUGAGCGGCUGGAAGCCGUCGGCCUCAGCGGCGAACGCGUCAAAGGUGGCAGGGUUGCUGUCAAGGCUGCCCAUUUUCAGAUCGAUUGGUUGUUUGAUGAUGAUGAUGAUGGUUAAUGACCUAGCUGCUAGCCGAAACUCGAAACCGUGG